CAGGGUUCUGUACUGUGGUGUGUGGACUCAGUUACAGCACGGUGGUACUACAGGGUUCUGUACUGUGGCGUGUGGACAGUUACAGCACGGUGGUACUACAGGGUUCUGUACUGUGGCGUGUGGACAGUUACAGCACGGUGGUACUACAGGGUUCUGUACUGUGGUGUGUGGACUCAGUUACAGCACAGUGGUACUACAGGGUUCUGUACUGUGGUGUGUGGACAGUUACAGCACGGUGGUACUACAGGGUUCUGUACUGUGAUGUGUGGACAGUU
rnacentral:lncRNA from 13 species